AACUUCGCGCAGUGGCAGUAUCAUAGCUCAUGAGGAUUAUUUAAGGCGUGAUUAUACACAGUUGAAAACCUUAUCGGAUAUUCUGCCUUGAUUAAUUCAAAUAUAGUUAUUUAUGGCAAAUAUUGAUAGUCUUUGUUGUGA